GGUGGUUCUCGGGUAAUGCACCCCAGAAUCGGGCUCCCUCCUCUCUAGUUCCGGGUGUGUCACCCAAGAACUGCA
rfam:Myotis lucifugus cont2.68105, whole genome shotgun sequence.